ensembl:lncRNA
AGAGAGGGGGGUAGACAGAUUGUAAAAGAGAGAGAGAGGGGGAGGGGGUAGACAGAUUGUAAAAGAGAGAGAGAGAGAGGGGGUAGACAGAUUGUAAAAGAGAGAGAGAGGGGGUAGACAGAUUGUAGAAGAGAGAGAGAGAGGGGGGGUAGACAGAUUGUAGAAGAGAGAGAGAGAGGGGGGGUAGACAGAUUGUGAAAGAGAGAGAGAGACAAAUAGACACAGGGAUAGACCAACAGACAGAGAAAGACAGACAUACAGAGACAGACAGACAGACAGACAGAUACAAACAGGUAGUCAUGCAGACAGACAGUAAGACCUCUAGUAAGAACUUAUUCUCAGCAGACCCAAUUACUAAAUGACAGGAUACCUGCCUUG